rnacentral:lncRNA from 1 species
AUGCAUAAGUCAUACCAACACAGGGGAGAGAAGCAAUGCCCCACUCAGGAAGUCCCUAGGGUGUCGUGUUAACCAAUAGGGUGUCAGUGCAUAAGUCAUACCAACACGAGCGGAGAGAGCACUGCCCCACUCAGGAGGCCCUAGGGUGUCAGUGUUAACCAAUAGGGUGUCAGUGCAUAAGUCAUACCAAAACAGGGGAGAGAGCACUGCCCCACUCAGGAGGCCCUAGGGUGUCAGUGUUAACCAAUAGGUGUCAGUUGCAGAAGUCAGACCAACACAGGGGGAGAGAGCGCUCCCCA